rnacentral:rRNA from 1 species
GUGGAUUAGAUACCCUGGUAGUCCACGCAGUAAACGAUGAUAGCUCGUUGUCGGCGAUACACAGUCGGUGACUUAGAGAAAUCGAUAAGCUAUCCACCUGGGGAGUACGUUCGCAAGAAUGAAACUCAAAGGAAUUGACGGGGGCCCGCACAAGCGGAGGAACAUGUGGUUUAAUUCGAUGAUACGCGAGGAACCUUACCCGGGCUUGAAAGUUAUUGACUAUUCUGGAAACAGGAUAUCCCUUCGGGGCAAGAAACUAGGUGCUGCACGGCCGUCGUCAACU